AUUGAACGCUGGCGGCAGGCUUAACACAUGCAAGUCGAGCGGGGAAGUAUAGCUUGCUAUACGACCUAGCGGCGGACGGGUGAGUAAUGCUUAGGAAUCUGCCUAUUAGUGGGGGACAACAUUCCGAAAGGAAUGCUAAUACCGCAUACGCCCUACGGGGGAAAGCAGGGGACCUUAGGACCUUGCGCUAAUAGAGGAGCCUAAGUCAGAUUAGCUAGGUGGGGGGGUAAAGGCCUACCAAGGCGACGAUCUGUAGCGGGUCUGAGAGGAUGAUCCGCCACACUGGGACCGAGACACGGCCCAGACUCCUACGGGAGGCAGCAGUGGGGAAUAUUGGACAAUGGGCGAAAGCCUGAUCCAGCAAUGCCGCGUGUGUGAAGAAGGCCUUUUGGUUGUAAAGCACUUUAAGCGAGGAGGAGGCUACCGAGAUUAAUACCCUUGGAUAGUGGACGUUACUCGCAGAAUAAGCACCGGCUAACUCUGUGCCAGCCGCCGCCGUAACAC
rnacentral:rRNA from 1 species